GAUGAACGCUGGCGGCGUGCCUAAUACAUGCAAGUCGAGCGAACAGACGAGGAGCUUGCUCCUCUGACGUUAGCGGCGGACGGGUGAGUAACACGUGGAUAACCUACCUAUAAGACUGGGAUAACUUCGGGAAACCGGAGCUAAUACCGGAUAAUAUAUUGAACCGCAUGGUUCAAUAGUGAAAGACGGUUUUGCUGUCACUUAUAGAUGGAUCCGCGCCGCAUUAGCUAGUUGGUAAGGUAACGGCUUACCAAGGCAACGAUGCGUAGCCGACCUGAGAGGGUGAUCGGCCACACUGGAACUGAGACACGGUCCAGACUCCUACGGGAGGCAGCAGUAGGUAAUCUUCCGCAAUGGGCGAAAGCCUGACGGAGCAACGCCGCGUGAGUGAUGAAGGUCUUCGGAUCGUAAAACUCUGUUAUUAGGGAAGAACAAAUGUGUAAGUAACUAUGCACGUCUUGACGGUACCUAAUCAGAAAGCCACGGCUAACUACGU
rnacentral:rRNA from 1 species